AUGAAGUAUGAUAUGACUGAGUGGCGGACGGGUGAGUAACGCGUGAGUAACCUGCCCUUCAGAGGGGGAUAGCGUUUGGAAACGGCUGCUAAUACCGCAUAAGCGCACGGCAUCGCAUGAUGCAGUGUGCAAAACUCCGGUGGUAUAAGAUGGACCCGCGUUGGAUUAGCUAGUUGGUGGGGUAACGGCCCACCAAGGCGACGAUCCAUAGCCGGCCUGAGAGGGUGAACGGCCACAUUGGGACUGAGACACGGCCCAGACUCC
rnacentral:rRNA from 1 species